rnacentral:lncRNA from 1 species
ACAUGUGGAAACAAAAGUUAGAGCUAAAAUCCGUAAGAGGAAGGUGACAACGAAAAUCAACCAUCAUGACAAAAUCAAUGGAAAGAGGAAGACCGCCAGAAAACAGAUCUUUAAAGUUGAUGACAAGAGUUCCAGUCCUGAAUCAUGGCAAAGUGCAGUAGUGAACUGCGGGGUUAUUCUGGAAGGAUCUCUCUAUGGCUGAUGGUCUCAGUUCCGGCAUCAGCCUCUGACUGAGAAUCAGGUCUCACACAGGAGGAGUCAGAUGAGGAGCAAUCCUCUGCUUCCGAUGGAGUUAGUUGUGAUGAAUUGGUGAGGAAAAUGUUUCAACGUGCGCAAGAGUUGCGGCGGCGAGCAGAGGACUACCACAAAUGCAAAAUCCCCCCUUCUGCAAGAAAGGCUCUUUGCAACUGGGUCAGAAUGGCGGCAGCGGAG